GAAGAAGAAUCCUGAGGAAAGAACAAUGACUGCUAUGAGGAACAAAAAUGCAGAAACUAAAGACUGAAGGGAAAAAAGCAAACCCCACAUACGCUAUGUUUUUUGGUCUUCCAGUUUUACCUCAGAACUGGUUCAGCACAUAUGGAAUUAAAUAAAAAAUUAGCUUAAUUCGGACAACAAUUUUGAUUUGAAAGAUGCUUUGGGUGAUUGAAGGACAAGAAGAUCUACUAUUUUAUUAUUUGCACACAUAAAGCAGCAGCAUGACUUAACUUCACUCGCUCUUGACCCAAGGAGUGGUGGAUCAAAAUAAUCAAUGCUUUCCUAGAAUCCCAGUCUGCAUGAUUGUGGAUUUCACUCCAUAAAAGCAAUCUCUUCCUCCACCAGCACUUUCUAAAGCUGAAGUGAGGAUUUUUUUUUGAAAAGAAAUAAUUCUCUGAGAGGCCUCAAGAACUGAAUCCCAACACUCAUGGUCAGACCAAGAAAAGUGGAUUUGUAAAUUGAACCUUUUUGGUUGUGCCUCUGCUGCUGCUGAAAGGCAAUGAAAAUGUGCUGAGUGUGGAGGCAUAAGGGUGUUUUGUCUCAAACAUUCUGAGUGUUGCACCAGGAAAACUGUGAUUAGAAGUAAUUUUAGGUACCCUGUGGAAAUGUGUUGUAAAAUAUUAAGGGCUUGUUAGCCAGAAUUUUUGAGAAGUUUGUAGGAGAAGUGGGGAAUUUGAUUAAGUCCUUAAAAAAUUAAUGUCUUG